rnacentral:rRNA from 1 species
UACGUAGGGUGCAAGCGUUGUCCGGAAUUAUUGGGCGUAAAGAGCUCGUAGGCGGUCUGUCGCGUCUGCUGUGAAAACUCAGGGCUUAACCCUGAGCUUGCAGUGGGUACGGGCAGACUAGAGUGCGGUAGGGGAGACUGGAAUUCCUGGUGUAGCGGUGAAAUGCGCAGAUAUCAGGAGGAACACCGGUGGCGAAGGCGGGUCUCUGGGCCGUAACUGACGCUCAGGGACGAAAGCUAGGGGAGCGAAUGGG